AUUGAACGCUGGCGGCAGGCCUAACACAUGCAAGUCGAACGAGUGGCGGACGGGUGAGUAAUGUCUGGGAAACUGCCUGGUAGAGGGGGAUAACUACUGGAAACGGUGGCUAAUACCGCAUACCAUCGGAUGUGCCCAUAUGGGAUUAGCUAGUAGGUGGGGUAACGGCUCACCUAGGCGACGAUCCGUAGCUGGUCUGAGAGGAUGACCAGCCACACUGGAACUGAGACACGGUCCAGACUCCUACGGGAGGCAGCAGUGGGGAAUAUUGGACAAUGGGCGAAACCCUGAUGCAGCCAUGCCGCGUGUAUGAAGAAGGCCUUCGGGUUGUAAAGUACUUUCAGCGGGGAGGCGUUACCUGCAGAAGAAGCACCGGCUAACUCCGUGCCAGCAGCCGCGGUAAUAC
rnacentral:rRNA from 1 species